rnacentral:rRNA from 1 species
GAUGAACGCUGGCGGCGUGCCUAAUACAUGCAAGUCGAGCGAACAGAUGAGAAGCUUGCUUCUCUGAUGUUAGCGGCGGACGGGUGAGUAACACGUGGGUAACCUACCUAUAAGACUGGGAUAACUCCGGGAAACCGGGGCUAAUACCGGAUAAUAUUUUGAACCGCAUGGCUCAAUAGUGAAAGACGGUUUCGGCUGUCACUUAUAGAUGGACCCGCGCCGUAUUAGCUAGUUGGUAAGGUAACGGCUUACCAAGGCGACGAUACGUAGCCGACCUGAGAGGGUGAUCGGCCACACUGGAACUGAGACACGGUCCAGACUCCUACGGGAGGCAGCAGUAGGGAAUCUUCCGCAAUGGGCGAAAGCCUGACGGAGCAACGCCGCGUGAGUGAUGAAGGUCUUCGGAUCGUAAAACUCUGUUGUUAGGGAAGAACAAAUUUGUUAGUAACUGAACAAGUCUUGACGGUACCUAACCAGAAAGCCACGGCUAACUACGUGCCAGCAGCCGCGGUAAUACGUAGGUGGCAAGCGUUAUCCGGAAUUAUUGGGCGUAAAGCGCGCGUAGGCGGUUUCUUAAGUCUGAUGUGAAAGCCCACGGCUCAACCGUGGAGGGUCAUUGGAAACUGGGAAACUUGAGUGCAGAAGAGGAGAGUGGAAUUCCAUGUGUAGCGGUGAAAUGCGCAGAGAUAUGGAGGAACACCAGUGGCGAAGGCGGCUCUCUGGUCUGUAACUGACGCUGAUGUGCGAAAGCGUGGGGAUCAAACAGGAUUAGAUACCCUGGUAGUCCACGCCGUAAACGAUGAGUGCUAAGUGUUAGGGGGUUUCCGCCCCUUAGUGCUGCAGCUAACGCAUUAAGCACUCCGCCUGGGGAGUACGACCGCAAGGUUGAAACUCAAAGGAAUUGACGGGGACCCGCACAAGCGGUGGAGCAUGUGGUUUAAUUCGAAGCAACGCGAAGAACCUUACCAAAUCUUGACAUCCUUUGACCGCUCUAGAGAUAGAGUCUUCCCCUUCGGGGGACAAAGUGACAGGUGGUGCAUGGUUGUCGUCAGCUCGUGUCGUGAGAUGUUGGGUUAAGUCCCGCAACGAGCGCAACCCUUAAGCUUAGUUGCCAUCAUUAAGUUGGGCACUCUAGGUUGACUGCCGGUGACAAACCGGAGGAAGGUGGGGAUGACGUCAAAUCAUCAUGCCCCUUAUGAUUUGGGCUACACACGUGCUACAAUGGAUAAUACAAAGGGCAGCGAAUCCGCGAGGCCAAGCAAAUCCCAUAAAAUUAUUCUCAGUUCGGAUUGUAGUCUGCAACUCGACUACAUGAAGCUGGAAUCGCUAGUAAUCGUAGAUCAGCAUGCUACGGUGAAUACGUUCCCGGGUCU